rnacentral:rRNA from 1 species
GAGAAGUCGUAACAAGGUUUCCGUAGGUGAACCUGCGGAAGGAUCAUUCACAUUUUUAUUUGCCGUUUCGGCGUGCGCUGGUCGCAGUGGUCGGGACUCGUCCGGCGCGUCUUAUGAUGCGUUCCCUUUGGGCUUCCACUACGUCCUGCGCCAGCAACGCGCCCUUGCCUUUUGCUCGGGCUGCCCGGCGUUCUCGCUGGGGCGUUGCCUCCUCCCACCCCGUGCUCGCGUUGUCGUCGCUCUUGCAGCGUGCUCUGCGAGCGGGUUCCGCCCCCGUCCGUCGCUAGCAUGUCGCGGUUUAUUGCCGUGUCGUCUGGCAGCGGUCGGGGGAUGUCGCUGCGCCGUGUGUGCGAGCGACCGCCGUGUCUCAGCGUUGCUGUGUCUCGGCUGCCUUUUGGUUGUUGCAACUCCGCGCCUUUUGGCGUCUUUGUAAACUUUAAACUUUCAGCGAUGGAUGUCUUGGCUCACACAACGAUGAAGGACGCAGCGAAUUGCGAUACGCAGUAUGACUUGCAGACUUCUGCGAUUUACCAGACCUCUGAACGUAACAAACACACCGCCUCUGCUCGCACGCGGUACUCCCGUUUCAGUGAGCCCCCAAUCCUGAGGCCCCGGCCCAUUUAUAACAGCCACUGAGUGCUCUAAUGCGUUUCAGCUGCUGCUUUGAAUGUUGCCGUGCUCCUCGCGAGUGGGCGUCGCUAUGUCGCCCCAAUUUCUGUGAACGCUUGCGCGGCUUUGGCCCUGCACGUGUUGGAGCGCCUGCUGUAGUUUCUACUCACUUUCGCUCCUGUCGCGGUGCUGCGCUGUGCGUUUUGCGGCUGGGCCGUCUUUUUUUGCUCCUGAGAUCGGGUGAGGCCAUCCGCCGAAUUUAAGCAUAUAAUUAAGCGGCAGAAAAGAAAAUAACCAUGAUUCCCCUAGUAACGGCGAGUGAAGC